rnacentral:rRNA from 1 species
UGUAACUACUGAAACGGUAGCUAAUACCGCAUAACGUCGCAAGACCAAAGGGGACCUUCAGACCUCACUUGCCAUCAGAUGUGCCAGAUGGGAUUAGCUAGUAGGUGGGGUAACGGCUCACCUAGGCGACGAUCCUAGCUGGUCUGAGAGGAUGAAGCCAGCCACACUGGAACUGAGACACGGUCAGACUCACAGGAGAGCAGCAGUGGGGAAUAUUGCACAAUGGGGCGCAAACCUGAUGCUGGCUCAUGCCGCGUGUAUGAAGAAAGAAGGCCUUCGGGUUGUAAAAUUACUUUCAGCGGGAGGAAGGUGUUGAGGUUAAUAACCUGAGCAAUUGACGUUACCCGCAGAAGAAGCACCAGCUAACUCGUGCCAGCAGCGCAGUAAUGGAGGGUGCAAGCGUUAAUCAAGAUUACUGGGCGUACAAAGCGCACGCAGGUGGUCCUGUCAGAGUCGGAUGUGAAAUCCCCGGGCUCAACCUGGGAACUGCAUUCCAGAGCGGCAGGCUGGAGUCUUGUGGGGGGUAGAAUUCAGGUGUAGCGGUGAAAUGCGUAGAGAUCUGGAGGAAUACCGGUGGCGAAAGGCGGCCCCUGGACAAGACUGACGCUCGGGUGCGAAAGCGUGGGGAGCAAGCAGGAUUAAGAUACCCUGGAGUCCACGCUGCAAACGAUGUCGACUUGGAGGUUGUUCCCUUGAGGAGUGGCUUCCCGGAGCUAACGUUAAGUCGACCGCCAGAGGUACGGCCGCAAGGUUAAAGCUCAAAUGAAUUGACGGGGAGCCCGCACAGGCGGUGGAGCGUAUGGUUUAAUUCGAUGCAACGCGAAGAACCUUACCUACUCUUGACAUCAGGGAACUUAGCAGAGAUGCUUUGGUGCCUUCCGGGAACUCUGAGACGGAGUGCUGCAUGGCUGUCGUCAGCUCGUGUUUGUGAAAUGUUGGGUUAAGGCCCGCAGCAGAGCGCAACCCUUAUCCUUUGUUGCCAGCGGUCGGUCCGGGAACUCAAGGAGACUGCCGGUGAUAGAAGCUGGAGAGGUGGGGAUGACGUCAAGUCAUCAUGGCCCUUACAGUAGGGGCUACACACGUGCUACAAUGGCAUAUACAAAGAGAGAAGCGACCUCGCGAAACAAGCGGACCUCGCCAAAAUUAUGUCGUAGUCCAGUUGGAGUCUGCAACUCGACUCCAUGGAAGUCAGGAAUCGCUAGUAAUCGUGGAUCAGAAUGCACCACGGUGAAUACGUUCGAACCUUGUACACACACCGCCCGUCACACCAUGCAGGUGGGUUGCAAAGAAGUAGGUAGCUUAACCUUGGGAGGAGCGCUUACCACUUUGUGAUUCAUGACUGGGGGUGAAGUCGUAACAAGGUAACCAUGAGGGAACCUGCAGCUGGAUCACCUCGCCAGGUUAAACGCAAACGGGCACCGAAGAUAAGAGCGACGAGCAAGUAGGUUAACUAACCCAUCAUGCAGAACAGGU